rnacentral:rRNA from 1 species
GUAGGGGGCAAGCGUUGUCCGGAAUUAUUGGGCGUAAAGCGCGCGCAGGCGGUCUCUUAAGUCUGAUGUGAAAGCCCACGGCUCAACCGUGGAGGGUCAUUGGAAACUGGGAGACUUGAGUGUAGGAGAGGAAAGUGGAAUUCCACGUGUAGCGGUGAAAUGCGUAGAUAUGUGGAGGAACACCAGUGGCGAAGGCGACUUUCUGGCCUACAACUGACGCUGAGGCGCGAAAGCGUGGGGAGCAAACAGGAUUAGAUACCCUGGUAGUCCGCGCUGUAAACGAUGAGUGCUAGGUGUUAGGGGUUUCGAUGCCCUUAGUGCCGAAGUUAACACAUUAAGCACUCCGCCUGGGAGUACGGCCGCAAGGCUG